CAAAGAUUAAGCCAUGCAUGUCUAAGUAUAAGCAACUAUACGGUGAAACUGCGAAUGGCUCAUUAAAUCAGUUAUCGUUUAUUUGAUAGUACCUUACUACAUGGAUAACCGUGGUAAUUCUAGAGCUAAUACAUGCUAAAAACCCCVACUUCGGAAGGGGUGUAUUUAUUAGAUAAAAAACCAAUGCCCUUCGGGGCUCCUUGGUGAAUCAUAAUAACUUACNNUCGCAUGGCCUUGCGCCGGCGAUGGUUCAUUCAAAUUUCUGCCCUAUCAACUUUCGAUGGUAGGAUAGWGGCCUACCAUGGUUUCAACGGGUAACGGGGAAUUAGGGUUCGACUCCGGAGAGGGAGCCUGAGAAACGGCUACCACAUCCAAGGAAGGCAGCAGGCGCGCAAAUUACCCAAUCCCGACACGGGGAGGUAGUGACAAUAAAUACUGAUACAGGNCUCUUUUGGGUCUUGUAAUUGGAAUGAGUACAAUUUAAAUCCCUUAACGAGGAACAAUUGGAGGGCAAGUCUGGUGCCAGCAGCCGCGGUAAUUCCAGCUCCAAUAGCGUAUAUUAAAGUUGUUGCAGUUAAAAAGCUCGUAGUUGAACCUUGGGCCUGGCUGGCCGGUCCGCCUCACCGCGUGUACUGGUCCGGCCGGGCCUUUCCUUCUGGGNNNGCAUGCCCUUCACUGGGCGUGUCGAACCAGGACUUUUACUUUGAAAAAAUUAGAGUGUUCAAAGCAGGCCUUUGCUCGAAUACAUUAGCAUGGAAUAAUAGAAUAGGACGUGUGGUUCUAUUUUGUUGGUUUCUAGGACCGCCGUAAUGAUUAAUAGGGNUNNNCGGGGGNNUNNAUUCAAUUGUCAGAGGUGAAAUNCNNGGAUUUAUUGAAGACGAACUACUGCGAAAGCAUUUGCCAAGGAUGUUUUCAUUAAUCAGUGAACGAAAGUUAGGGGAUCGA
rnacentral:rRNA from 1 species